CUCGGGGUCCGUAAAGUUUUUCCCUCUUCGAUAAUUUCCGUUAUUCCACAAUAUAGGAUGUUCCUAAACCGCUCGAUUCUAUGCGAUACUUUUCCGAUAGUUUACAAAUGCAGCCCUUAAAAACAAUGGCAAUAAAAAAUUGUUCGCGCCUAAACAUAUUUCAAAUCUUAAUUAAAAUUUCAAAUCGUUGAAAAUAAAAAGAAGACAAAUAAAAUAGAAACGCUACACGCAUGUCGAAAUAAACUGCAUAGAUGGAAAAUCUCGGUUUAAACAUUUGGCAUGAUAAUAAUGCGGAUUUGCUUGGGUCCCCAAAUAAUGUUUGGGAAUUGCUUGAAGUCCCGAAGGAGCAGCCGAUGUUACAGGCGGAGCGAAGGCCAUACCAACUUCCGAACAGAGCUGCCGCAAGAGCUGGUGGUCAAGAGAAUUGCAACAUACAAGGUGAAUGGGAACACUUUACCCAUAGAUGGAAGAUUGAAUAGCGAUCCUAUAAAACACAGCCAUGGCGAAAACACACACGAUUUUUCUCGUUUCUGGUAUCAAA